CCUACGGGUGGCAGCAGUAGGGAAUAUUGGUCAAUGGACGAGAGUCUGAACCAACCAAGUAGCGUGAAGGAUGACUGCCCUAUGGGUUGUAAACUUCUUUUAUAUGGGAAUAAAAUGUUCCACGUGUGGGAUUUUGUAUGUACCAUAUGAAUAAGGAUCGGCUAACUCCGUGCCAGCAGCCGCGGUAAUACGGAGGAUCCGAGCGUUAUCCGGAUUUAUUGGGUUUAAAGGGAGCGUAGGUGGAUUGUUAAGUCAGUUGUGAAAGUUUGCGGCUCAACCGUAAAAUUGCAGUUGAAACUGGCAGUCUUGAGUACAGUAGAGGUGGGCGGAAUUCGUGGUGUAGCGGUGAAAUGCUUAGAUAUCACGAAGAACUCCGAUUGCGAAGGCAGUUCACUGGACUGCAACUGACACUGAGGCUCGAAAGUGUGGGUAUCAAACAGGAUUAGAUACCCUGGUAGUC
rnacentral:rRNA from 1 species